AUUGAACGCUGGCGGCAUGCCUUACACAUGCAAGUCGAACGGCAGCACGGGUGCUUGCACCUGGUGGCGAGUGGCGGACGGGUGAGUAAAGCAUCGGAACAUGCCCACUUGUGGGGGAUAACGCACCGAAAGGUGUGCUAAUACCGCAUAAGCCCUGAGGGGGAAAGCAGGGGAUCUUCGGACCUUGCGCAGGUGGAGUGGCCGAUGUCGGAUUAGCUAGUUGGUGAGGUAACGGCUCACCAAGGCGACGAUCCGUAGCUGGUCUGAGAGGAUGAUCAGCCACACUGGAACUGAGAACGGUCCAGACUCCUACGGGAGGCAGCAGUGGGGAAUUUUGGACAAUGGGGGCAACCCUGAUCCAGCCAUGCCGCGUGAGUGAAGAAGGCCUUCGGGUUGUAAAGCUCUUUCGGCCGGGAAGAAAUCGUGCAGGCUAAUACCCUGUAUGGAUGACGGUACCGGAAUAAGAAGCACCGGCUAACUACGUGCCAGCCGCCGCAGUAA
rnacentral:rRNA from 1 species